rnacentral:rRNA from 1 species
AAGGAAUAUUGCUCAAUGGGAGAAAUCCUGAAGCAGCAACGCCGCGUGGAGGAUGAAGGGUCUAUGACUUGUAAACUCCUGUAAAGAAGGAAAAAAUUCCCAUUUGAUGGGAGAUGAUGGUACUUCUGGAGUAAGCCCCGGCUAACUACGUGCCCGCAGCCGCGGUAAUACGUAGGGGGCAAGCGUUGUCCGGAUUUACUGGGUGUAAAGGGUGCUCAGGCGGAUUUGUAAGUCAGAGGUGAAAUCUUACAGCUUAACUGUGAAACUGCCUUUGAUACUGCAAGCCUAGAGUAUGGAAGAGAGUGAUGGAAUAUCUGGUGUAGCAGUGAAAUGCGUAGAUAUCAGAUAGAACACCAAUGGCGAAGGCAGUCACUUGGUCCAUUACUGACGCUAAAGCACGAAAGCGUGGGUAGCAAACA